rnacentral:rRNA from 1 species
GUCUAUGGCCAUACCACUCUGAACGCGCCCGAUCUCGUCUGAUCUUGGAAGCUAAGCGGGGUCGGGCCUGGUUAGUACUUAGAGGGGAGAAAGGCUUGCAUUGCUAUAUACU